AAAAUUAAUGCAAUAUCGCUGAUAGGCAAUAUUUCAUGAGUGAAACCCCACCCUAUUAAAGCACUUGACAUAAUUGGUGUAACAUAUAAACAACAUAGAAUGGAAACGCUGGCCUCUUGAAUUCAAACAGGUCAUAUUUUCUUCUGUUCAAAUUCUUAGUUUAUCAACACUGAUCUUUAGGUAAGGGAUAUUUAUUUCCUUAUUGCCCACAGGGGGCUAUACAUAGACGGGACAAACAAGGACAGACAAACGGAUUGUAACUGGUACUUGAUUAAUCAACCCCGAAAGGAUGAAAAGCGAAGUCGACCUCGGCGGAAUUUGAACUAAGAAUGUAACAGCAGACGAAAUACCUAUUUCUUUACUACCCACAAGUGGCUAAACACAGAGAGGAGAAACAAGAACAGACAAACUGAUAAGUCGAUUAUAUCGACCCCAGUGCGUAACUGGUACUUAAUUUAUCGACCCCGAAAGGAUGAAAGGCAAAGUCAACCUCGGCGGAAUCUGAACUCAGAACGUAACGGCAGACGAAAUACCGCUAAGCGUUUCGCCCAGUAUGCAAACGAUUCUGCCAGCUCACCACCCUUUUAGUUAAGGAAUAUUGUCAAUUUAGUUUAUCUUUAAUAAUGGAGUAAUUACUGUGUUGUGUCCUAGGAUUACGGAGUUGGUUGCUUGAUUUCUAAUCCGUUUAAAUGAUCGAGAUUACAACACGCUUCCUAAACGUGUCGCUAAUCAGUAGCAAGGUUAUGCAUUUACAGCUGAGUGAAAUUAAUGCAAUAACGUGAAAUUAUAUGUUUAGUCCAAGUGCAUGACGCACCUCCUAGUCCAAGAAUCGGAACCACGUUCUUCCGAUCAUAAGUACAACGCCCUAACCAUCAGGUUUUGUGCGUUAAGAAUGGUCGACACAUAAUAUAAUUUAUAUAUUUUAUUUGCUCCAGAUGAUGACAUUUAAAGUUCAUCUUUGGCAAUUCGUUCAAGAAACCAUAUAAAGACAGAAGAAAAUAUUCAUUCCUCUUUUAAGUACAAAGGUUCUAGAUAUUUUUUGAAAUGGUGUACUUAAUUAACAUUGACCGAAGUUUACAACUUACGAGUAUUUGUUCAAGAUCUGACAGGAAUAGAACUCAGAUGCAAAAGACAAUACAUAAAUACCACAAGGUAUUUAUGUAUUGCCUUUCUUCCAAUCUGACAUUUCAACAAUAUAAUUAAUAUGGAGGACAGUGUAGUCUACUAUAUAGAAUUUCAUCCAGUUAAUCAUGUCUACAAACUAACGAUGUAGACUAAAUAUUUGUAAGCAGAGUCGACUGUAACGACUGGUACAUAUCAUAUUGAUUGGUACGUAUGUAUGAUUGGUACGUAUGUAUGAUUGGUACAUAUUAUAUUGCUGCAACGAACACGUUUACAAACGUACCAGUAUAUCUUGAAACAUAACUAACUUUUUGACUACUGAAAUUUAACAUUUCUAUGAAACCUACUUCUAUCUUGAAGCUCUUACUGACUCACGCACACACGCAUACAUGAGCACACAAUCACACAUAUGUACAAACACAUAUAUAUAUAUAUACAUAGGGAGAAUUCCCAAAAAUCGAAAGACGAAGACAGGUGGUGUAGACAACAAACAGAUGUAUUAGUUUAACGCUCGAGAAGUGAAAAAGUCUUUAACGUUUCAAGCCAACGCUAUUCUACAGAAAGGAACACAGAAAGAAACAAUGAUAUAAAAUAAACAAUGUGUGUGUGUAUAUAUAUAUAUAUAUAUAUACACGCGCACAUAUUAAAGGGGACAGCAAACGCUAAGGCAAGACAAACAUCUCAAGUCAUAUAUGUUAUCAUUAUAAGAAAAAUUUUAAGUCUUAUAGCUGUUUCUGGAGAGGAGGAAGAAUGUAAUUGACAGGACAAUGGCAAGGAUUGAUAGAAAUAAUAAAAUAAGGAAUAUAAAAAAUAUUUUUCAUACCAGUCCUUGCCAAUGCACAGCAUUCCACCUCCUCUCUUUGUACCUCCAGAUCCCCUACCAAUACCCGCCUCUCUCUCUCUCACUCUUUAUAUUUAUUUUUCUUUCUCUUUAUCCCUUAAUUGCCACUUCUGCUAUCAUUCUCUUACGAACCAUCGAUACGUUACAUUUCUCGAGAUAUUUACACUAGGAAGGCUAUAAUCAUACCUGGAUUUACAUAGGAUUGCACCUAAAGUCUUAUAUACUAGCAUCUACACUACCGGAAAGUUGAGCUGUGAACUUUUAUGUUUCCUUUUUUUUUCUUCAUUUCUUUAUUUCUUUUUCCUCCAGUCUUUUAUUUUAUCGUUUCCUUAAUCUAUACUCUUCAUAUUUUCCCUAUUUGUCUCCGAUGACGGAAUAUCCCAUAUUUUGGGAUAUCCCAGAAACAGUUGUAAGAUUUUAAAUUUUUCUAAAAAUGAUAACAAAUAUGACUUGAGAAGUUUGCCUUCUCUUAGCGUUUGUUGUCCUCUUAAACAAAUAUGUAUAUCCGCUAUAUCAGAAAUAUACUAUAGUUCCAUAACCCCCGUCUCGGCUAUGAGCGUGGAGCCUGGUAAUCCAUGUUAGCACUUACCCAGCGUACCUGGUCGUUUAGAUUACCUGUGAACGAAACACCCAUAGUUUGUAUAUAUAUAUAUAUAUAUAUAUAUAUAUAUAUAUAUAUAUACAUAUCAUUUAUCUUUUAUCUCUUGUUUCAGUCAUUAGACCGCUGUCAUGUUGAGGCACCACAAUGAAGAAGAAUUGCUUGUUCUAGUCUAAUGAAUCGGCUCCAGUACCUUUUGUUUUAACGCCCUGUUCUUACUCAAUUACGGGGACGUAGUCAUUAGCACCGGUUGUCAAGUGGUAGUGGGGUAGACAAACACAGACAACCCCACUACCAGCAUACACACAUACACGCACAAAUAUAUGCAUAUACAUAAACAUACCCCACCACAUAUAUAUAUAUAUAUAUGUAUGUAUGUAUACGACGGGUUCUUUCCGUUUAUCAAAUCCAGUCACAACGACUUGGUCAGCCCGAGGCUAUAGUCGAAGACAGCCAUCGAAGGAGCCACGGAGUGGGGCAGAAUGUGGAACCAUGUGGAUGGGAAGCAAGCUUCUUACCACGCUGCCAGUAGGCCCGACUGUAAAGUUCAUAGUCUCACCAAGCUAUUCUCAUGGGAUGUGACUCAAUCAGGUUUAUUUUUCCACAUAAUUCCCCUUCCGGACCACACAUUUCAUCAAUUAUUGUUGCAGUGUUUAGAACCCUUUUGUGAAGAAGCCUUCAUUUUGUUAAAAAAAAUCAGUUACGACGUUAUUAUCACUGCGGUACUGGUUCCCAGCUAAGUGCCUUUUUUUUUAAUUUUGAGGACAGAUGGGGCCAAAUCAACCAGUUCAAAGCCACAGUCACGCACAAUAACCAUUGAGAUCAAGAACUUGUUUGCUGGAGCAUUCUCCUGAUGAAAAAAUACCCUUUCUCAGUUUUUCUGGGUAUUUGGUCUUGAUAGUCUUCCAUGAUUGCCUCUGCAAAUUGGCAUAAUACUUUCCGAUGAUAGUGCGGCCAUUUUCAAGAUUGUGCCAAUAAAUAAAAUGCCUCUGGGAUCCCAAACAUCUGAGUCCAUCACCUUUCUUGUCAAGAAACAACCUGGCUUUCUUUGGAGCAGAUUGGAAGAGGUAUUUCUACUGUAUUGCUUAUCGCUUCAUCUCUGGCUUAACGUGAUGGAGCCAGCAUUCAUCCGGGGUUAGGAAACGUUCAAAUAAACCAACUGGAUCUCCUUAAGACAAUGUCAUAUAUUCCUGUAUUAUGACCCACUUGUUGCGCUUUUGAUCAGGUGUCAGAUGUGGCAUCCACCGAGCAGAGACCUUCGUCACACCAGGUUCAUUGUACAGACUAUUCUAGAUUUUUCUAUGGGCUAUGCUAAUAGCAUUGGCUAUUCGAUUUAUAGCUAAUCGCCUGUCAUCCAUCAGUAUGUGGUGAACACGAUCAAUAUUAUCCUCGUUGGUGGCAGUUGUAGGAUGUCCAGACCCUGGGUCAUCUUGAAGACUCCGUUCUCCUAAAGUCAGCUGACUACCUUCGCACUGUUGAUAAAGCUGGAGUGUCAAACCCGAAUGUACCAACCACGUCAGUAUGAAUAUCCUUGAGAUCUAAACCUUUUUCCUAUAGGUACUUGAAUGCACUACGAAGCCAAAAUUUGCCAAUUUUCAAGAGAAGUCGCUACUAGUUACUUUUCAUGUCUUCUUUGAACAAUGAAAUGUCAGUUUACCUUAAAAGAGAAAACAAUUCAGUUAUAAAUUAAAAGGGCUGACAUUCAUGCAGGCAAUAUUUAACAGCUCUAGCAUCAUGCAGCACUCCUUCAUAGUCAACCUUUGAACUUUUCAGCCCACUUUUGUACGGGUGUGUGCGUGCGCGUGUAUACACACACACACACACACACACACACACACAUAUAUAUAUAUACAUACACACGCAUUCUUCUCACUCUCUCUCUCUCUCUCUAUAUAUAUAUAUAUAUGCAUUUAUCCAUGCAGCUUAUACUUUCGAAUGCAAACGUUUAGAUAUAUAAAUAGAUAAAACAAACGCAUGCUGUAGAAGUUAUCUAUUGAUUCCAAGAGAUGUGAGCCCGCUUUUAACAUUUACCGAAUAUUCUGGUUUUGUGGAAUUAAUAUUAAUGAUUUCUCAUAUAGGUACAAGGUCACACUUAUACGGGAAGUCAGCAAGGGAAUAUAACGAAAUAUAUUAAUCAAUACUUGAUUGAUAUGUAUUUUAUUGGCUUCGGAAUGGUAAAAUAUUAAGUCAAACUUGGGUCAAUGUAGUUUCAAUCCCAGAACGUUCAUCGAUUCAUUGAAAUAAUUCCAACGCCUUUUUGUGCACCGGUGUAGUUAUUCGACUAAUCCGUCUCUCUGUAAUUUAUGAUAACAAUAACAUUCAAUAUGCCGUUGUAGAAUCGAUGAGAAUACUGGAUGUUGCAAUAUCACUGUUUAGUUAUGGUUCUUUUAAAACGUUUUGCCUCUUUGCUUUUAUGCAUCAAUAAUACAUAUAAUAUAAAUACACGGUGUGGCACAUUUAGUUGAAAAAAAAAAUGUACGAGUCUGUAGCAAUAUAUAGUUGAAUAUACCCUAAACAACUAAAAUUAUGAAGUUGUAGCAAUAUUUUAAAAGCAAUAUUAGAAUCAUAAACUCCGAAAUUCUCUGUAUCUGUAGAGAUGUCAAAUGAAAUAUUCGUAAGAUUUGUCUAAAUAAGAUUUGAGCUACUUAGAGUCAAUCAUAUGAUUACGGUUUACUCGAGAAUACUAAGCACAAGUACUCUUAGACCUGUUUAAACCUGAACCUUGCAUCUCAAUGUUUAGUAUAUAUCCAUAUAUAUUAUGGCCAUUAUUUUUUCUCCUUUAGGACAACAGACUUAGUUAGUUACAACCACCAACCCAUGUACUUGAAUGUAAAUUUAUUCUUUUUGACAGUGGAAGGAUGAAAAUGAAGCAUGCCAUGAGCGUAUUUAAACUGAAAUUGUAGAGAAAUACUGCUAGGCAAAUAUCGAAAGAAAUAUGAAAAAUAAACAAUUAUUUCUAUAUUGUCAAAAUACUAGAAAUGUGUGUGUGUGUGUGUGUGCGUGGGGUGGGGGCUGUAAUCAGUAAUUGCACUUCAAGAACUGAAGUAUCUCAAACAUAUUCUACUAAUUCUAAUUGCAGUCACUCACAUCACAUUGGCAUUUUUAGAUUCUCACCGAAACAUACUCUAUAGCAUUUACCAUAUCCAGCCUUCUCGACAUCUUUAUGUUUUACUUGGUUAAUCAUUAGAGCGUGGGGCAACAUCUUGAAAAUGAACCGAGUACGUAUUUGUCUUCAAAAACUAAUAUUCUAUCGGACACUUUUUUUUUCCAAAUCACUAACAAAACAACACAGAUUGUUAAUGCGGUUAUGGAAACAAACACAACAGUAUACGCGCGCACGCACGCUCAUACACAUAUAUACAUGACAGUUUUCUACACUGUUUCCGUGCACCAAAUUUACUCACAAUACAUUGGUCGACCCGGGGAUAUAGCAGAAGACGCUUGCCCAAGCUGACGCACAUUAGAACUAAACUCGAAACCACGUGACUGCAUAGCGGAAUUCUUAACCGCCAAUUCCUAAUAAUGCCUUUGUGAAACUCAGUAGAUUUUCUGCCAGAAAAAUGCAUAUUUUCUUCAUUUUUAAAUAGCAUCAAUAACACCAACAGCAAUAGUAACAAGAAAAACAACAACGGUAAUUGUUUCUGCUUUAAAUUUUAUAGAAUUGAAGUGCGGAUUAUAUUUGCUUCACUAUUUCAAUAGUACUUAAUAUCGUUGACACUGAAGAGAUGAGAUAUUAAAUCAGUUCUGAAGAGCAGAAAAGCCGACGAUCUAAGAUUUCUAACAACGCAACGCCCAAACAAAAGCCAUUUUGCUUGUUUACAUAUGGUUAAACAGCUUUUGUUCUCUUAAAAAAACUAAAAAUAAGUUUGAUAACACAUGCGAAAGAAUUAAUGCAAAACUAUUGAUGCUAUUUAUACCUCUCUAAUGUUGAGCUCAUGUCUCAAAAAUACUUUACCAUGUAGUUUCUCUUGAUAAUAAACCUCACCAUAACAGUGAGCCAGAAGAAAUAUGUUCAGCUAUCUCAAAUUACGACAGUAGUAGUAGUAGUAGUAGUAGUAGUAGUAGUAGUAGUAGUAGUAGUAGUAGUAGUAGUAGUAGGAACAUAAACUCAAAAGCAUAAUAGAAAAUGAUAAUGCAAAGCUCCUAUGGGAUUUUAUGAUUCAGUGCGACCAUGAGAUAGAGAAUAGGAGACCAGACAUAGCGUUAAUUGAGAAAGAAAGUAAAUGGUGUUGGACUAUAGAUAUAGUAUGCCUGUUCGAAUACUCCGACUGGUGCUCGAAAAAUAAGGGAUAUUACAUUAGUUCACUAGUAGUGAACAGCUGGCAACGUAGUACAUCUCCAGCAUUAGAAGCUAUGCAUAGACAAUGAUGAUAAUAAUAAUAAUAAUAAUAAUAAUAAUAAUAAUAAUAAUAAUAAUAAUAAUAAUAAUAAUAAUAAUACACGGGGGACGUUUAAGAGAGAAUACACCGGGGGACGUUUAAGAAGAAUACACCGGGGGACGUUUAAGAAGAAUACACCGGGCGACGUUUAAGAAGAAUACACCGGGGGACGUUUAAGAUGUAAGAAGGAUAAAACAGAACUCCGAAAUCUAUCCACAAACAUCGAAAACAAGGACAUCGUAUGGAGCCAAAGAUUUACUUACAAAUGUUUGGACUGUAUCCGAGUAAGUAAUACUAAUUGAAAUUUAUUACUAUUUUCGAAACGAAAUGAUGUAUUUUGACUCGAUAUCAUCUCCACCUCUAACACAACACAUGUAAACAUGCGUGGACCAUUACGAUCCAUCAACACCAGAUCAUCCCCGACCCCAAACACCAUGUACAAAGGAACUACGAAGAAAUUAAAUGCCACCGAUAUUAUUCAACCCAAGAAUAACAAUCGAGCGGUACGUACUUUAAACUUACAACACAAAAUGUACGAAAAACUACACGUGCAAAACAAUGUGACAACAGAAAUGAACGGACCAGUACCCUACGAAAAUGAAAACCGUCAAAAUAAUGGGCCGGACGUUGUUCCUCAUGUCCCGCAAAUAAAACCCAAAAGACAUAAAUGGACACGUGAGGAAUACAUUUCUAUCUUACACGCAUACUUCACAGCAGUGCUCUACCCAAAAAAUGAAAACACAACAACACAUACAUAUAAAAUAUGGAAGGAAAAUAACAUAAAUAUAGACUUGGAUACAGAUAUGAACCCUAAUAAAUUAGCUAACGUACGAAGAUACAUUAUCAACGCAAAAAAAAUAUCAGAAAUAGAAAUAGAACAUCUAAGAGAAAAAAUACACAAGGAAAAUGUAGAUAAAAGCCACACAACAAUGCCCAAUAAUAUAAACACUGAAACAGUAAAACACAAAGACAAACGUAACAUUUCCAACAAACACGAUGUAAACAAAAAACAACAAACUCAGACAGUAAGGAUGCAUAAUAAAACACGACAAACAGCAAGCCAAAACACGGCAAACAAACAUAUAAAUAAGAAAGAAAACGACACAAAGCUAAAACCUGAAAACAAGGAAGGGGAGCCUAAUGAUUAUGAUAAUAUAAAAGGUAAAAUAAUCAAAGAACUGAAAACCACAGAGCUCAAAAUGGACCACCGACCAUACCUCCCAAGAAUCAAAAUAGACGAAACAACAACACCAAUUAUAAACAGCAUAAACCUAGCCAUCACGGAACUAAUAGCCACUGAAACAAAAAGCGAUAUCACUGAGCUAAAUGACUUAGUAUACGCAGCAGCCACUGCAACCACAAAAGAAGCUGGAUACUUACUCAAACGCAUCCAAACAGGAGUACCACCACCCAAACAAACCCUGUGGAUAAAUAACAUCCAAAACAAAAUACAAAAAAUUAGAAAAGAUCUGUCGUUUCUUAAUGAAAUCAGUAGACAAUGAACGCUACUGAGCAACAAAAAGAAAACAAAAAUACUCCGCAAAUAUAUCAUCACAGAAAAAGAUUUACCUGAAAUAAAAGAAAAGCUGAAGCAAGAUAUCCUUGCCAAAGCACAAAGGAUCCGCCGGUACGAGAAACGCCAUCGCUUCUUUGAACAAAACAAAAAGUUCAACUCCAGCCCCAAAAAAGUUCUACCAAGAACUUGGCAAAAAUAAAAUAGAAAUCACUGCAGCACCAACGGCAGAAGAAGUGGAAGAAUUCUGGAGAGAAAUAUGGUCGGCGAACGAACAACCAAAAAAAAAGGAGUAUCAAAACAACAAACUCAGCAUCUGAGCAACUUUGGACCCGCAUAACAACUGAAGAGGUCACCCAGGCACUGCAAAGAUUAAGCAACUGGAAGGCACCUGGGCAUGACAAGAUCCCCAACUUCUGGUUGAAAUAUCUAACAGGAAUGCACAAAAAGCUGGCUGAAAACUUUAACAACAUGCUGGCAGAGCCAGAGACAAUGCCUGAAUGGCCCACGAAGGGGAAAACCAUCUUAAUUCCCAAAUCAAAUGAGACAGCAAAACCAGAAAACUGCAGACCAAUAACCUGUCUCCCUACAAUGUACAAGGCAUUUACUGCAGUGAUAUCGCAAAGGUUGAACAAGCACCUGGACGAAAACAACCUGUUCCCAGAAGAGCAGAAAGGAUGCCGCGAAGGCUCAUAUGGCUGUAAAGAUCAACUAAUGAUUAAUAAAGCCAUAACUGAAGACAGCCACAGAAAGAAGAAAGGCCUCAGUAUGGCCUGGAUCGACUACAAAAAGGCGUUUGAUAGCAUCCCCCACACAUGGAUCCUCGAAACACUAGCCAUUAACAAAGUAGCACCAAAAAUCAUAAAAUUCAUAGGGCACUCUAUGAAUAAAUGGUAAACAGUGCUACAGCUCCAAACAAAAGAAUGACUCAUGAAAACCAAAGCCAUCCCCAUUAGAAGAGGAAUAUUCCAGGGAGACACGCUCUCUCCACUCCUCUUCUGCUUGGCACUGACACCUCUAUCUGAUAUGCUAAAUAGAACUGGAUGCGGAUAUAAAUGUUACGGCAAAGCGAUCAGCCACCUUUUAUAUAUGGAUGACCUAAAACUAUACGCGGCAAAUGACAAACAGCUGGAAACACUAUUAUAGACAGUUCAUGGAUUUACCAAAGAAAUAGAUAUGAAAUUUGGAUUAGAAAAAUGCGCCAAAGUAACCAUGAAAAGAGGAAAACUAGUUAAGAGUAGCAACAUCACACUAGAUAAAACCAAUGAAAUAAAAGAAUUAGAUCAAAGCCAAACUUACAAAUACUUAGGAAUCCAUUAAAUAGAUAAGACACAACACACACAAAUGAAAGAGAAAAUAAAAAAAGAAUAUUAUAGACGAGUUAGAUCAAUACUAAAAACAGAGCUCAAUGCUAAAACAAGAUAAUUGGUGUUAGCACUUUAGCUGUCCCAGUUAUAAGUUACAGCUGCAAUAUCCUUAAGUGGACACUAAAUGAACUGACCAAAAUAGAUAGGAAAACAAGAAAAAUAAUGACAGGAUCUAGGAUGCAUCACCCAAAAUCUGACAUAGAAAGACUAUAUAUACAACGUAUAGAAGGUGGCAGAGGCCUUUUACAACUGGAAAACUACUAUAAAAUAACCACCAUAGGACUGCAAAAAUAUCUACUUCAGAAGGAAGGAAAACUGAUACAAAUAGCGGCAAAACACGAGCAAAACAAAAAACUGUUCUCAGUAUUUAAGGAAGCUGACAAAUACAAACAAGAAAUCAUACCACCUAAUAAAUAUGAAGAAGAAGAAGAAGAAGAUAAAGAAACAACAAAAGCUAUAAAACAAAUGAAGUCCAAACUAAAAAUAGAACAGCAGCGAACCAUGAUAAAACGAUGGCAAGAAAAGCCCCUUCAUGGUAAAUACUGGACUAAACUAAACGCAAAAGAAAUAGACAACGAAAAAUCCCAGCAAUGGUUGAGAAGCUCAGGACUCAAAGCAGAGACAGAGGGAUUUUUAAUUGCAGCACAAGACCAAAGCCUCCCCACCAGAAAUUACCAAAAACAUGUAAUGAAAAGAAAUAUAACAAGUAACUGCAGAAUAUGUGGAGAUGGACAAGAAACAAUAAAUCAUAUUAUCUCUAGCUGCCCAGUCCUGGCUAAGAAGGAAUAUAUUCACAGACAUGACAGAGUUGGAACCUACAUACAUUGGAAGCUAUGCCAACAUUAUGGAAUAAUAACAGAAAAAAGAUGGUAUAGGCACACACCAGAAAAGGUCACAGAAAACGAGAAAGCAACCAUACUCUGGGAUAUGCCGAUACACAUAGAUAGAGAAAUUAAGGCCAACAGACCAGAUAUAGUUGUCAGAGAUCAUGAAGAAAAAAAAAUGCUUUCUAAUUGAUGUAUCAAUACCAGCAGAUGACAACGUGUCUCUAAAAGAAAUGGAGAAACUCUCAAAAUACAAAGACCUGGAAAUAGAGGUAACUAGAAUGUGAAAUCUAAAAACAGAAACAAUUCUUAUCAUAGUAGGUGCAUUAGGCAUGAUAAAAAAUAUUCAGACAAAUACAUAACAAAAACACCAGGACUUACAAACACAUAUAACAUACAUAUAACACUACUAGGCACUGCUCACAUCCUACGCAGAACACUUUCCAUACAACAACCAUCAGAGCAUCACAACAAAUCACAGCACAUACCCAAGGCACACAGAGCUGCGCUCGGUAGUGAAGUGAAAGCACGCUAUAAAAAUAAAACUACUGAAUAAUAAUAAUGAGGAGGAGGACGAGGAUAACAUUAAGGCAAUUGGAAAAACAUAUACAGCUCGAACCAAAGAAGAAUCUAAAGGAAAAAUUAAUAAUAGCGCUACCAAUAAGGAAGGGACAACUGGCACUAGCAGCUUAAUUCAUUUACGUGAUUAAGAUCAGACGAUUUUAGAUGAAUUGCAGAAAGUAAUGAGUAGUGAAAUACGAAAAAAUAUUGCCAGCAUUAAAAAGCACCCACAGAAGGAAGCUGCUAGAAACGACUAGGAAAGUAGAUUCUGUUAUCAGUAGAAUAGACGCCAAAAUAUAGGAGACACUAACUUAUUGAUCUAUGCAGGAGGAGCAGUAGUCACUAGAAUAUUAGAUAUCUCAGAGGGAAAGAUUAAGAAAAGCAAAUGAGGAAAAGAUGACUACAAAAUGAAAUGAAGUCUUUAAAACAAAAUCUGAGUACAAUAGAAGCCUGAAAGCAAAACAAAUUAGGAAACACAAGAUGCACAUCUGUUAAGAAAAGAUACUUAGUCGAAGAGUAAAGAUUUGGGACAGCAGUAAAAUAACUGAAACAGCGUAUUAUAGCAGUAUCAAGCAAGCUCUCCAAAUAUCAGAAAAAAAUAGAUCAGUAUCAACAUAAUAGAUUAUAUUAUUUGAGACAGACCAGAUUAGAUUUUGUAAACAAAUAAAUAGUAGAGAAGUACUGAAUUACUGAAGAUGAGAACCUAAUGCAGAAGGAGCUAGAAAGUUCUGGAGUAAUAUUUGGAAUAAGGCAGUCAAUCAGAAAGUGAAGGGAGAAGUAGUGAGUGAGAAACAGCCAGAUCAAAGACUCACUAAUGCAUUAAUGAAUAAAGUGUCAGGAAAAAUGCUCAUUUGGAAGGAGCCAGGACCAAGACUGAAAAAAAUUAGUAGUUUACAUGGGAAGCUGAGGAAAGAACUUCAGGAUUGCUUUAAUGGAAGAAUAAUACCAGAUUGGAUGACUAGAGGGAGGUCAGUACUCAUUAUGAAAUAUAAAAACAAGGGUAAUACAGCUAGCAACUAUAGACCGACCACAUGCUUACCAUUAGUGUGGAAACAGUUAACAGGAUUGCUUUCUGAAAGCACUUAUGAGCACCUUGAAGGUCAAAAGUUACUGCCAGAAGAACAAAAAGUUUGCAGGAAGAAAGUUAGACAACCGCAUGAUCUAUUAUACAUAGACAAAGCAGUUCUAAAUGUAGUAAAAGCUGGAAAGAAAAAUGUAACAAUUGCAUGGAUAGAUUAUAGGUAAGCCUGUGACAUGAUCCCACAUUCAUAGAUAACUGAGUGUCUGAGUAUAUU
rnacentral:lncRNA from 1 species